rnacentral:rRNA from 1 species
GUGCCAGCCGCCGCGGUAAUACGGAGGAUCCGAGCGUUAUCCGGAUUUAUUGGGUUUAAAGGGUGCGUAGGCGGAAUGGUAAGUCAGAGGUGAAAUCCUGCAGCUCAACUGUAGAAUAGCCUUUGAAACUGUCAUUCUUGAGUACAUUUGAGGUAGGCGGAAUGUGGUGUGUAGCGGUGAAAUGCAUAGAUAUACCACAGAACACCGAUUGCGAAGGCAGCUUACUAAACUGUAACUGACGCUGAGGCACGAAAGCGUGGGUAUCAAACAGGAUUAGAUACCCUGGUAGUCCACGCUGUAAACGAUGAUUACUGGUUGUUUGCGAUACACCGCAAGUGACUGAGCGAAAGCAUUAAGUAAUCCACCUGGGGAGUACGUCGGCAACGAUGAA